AAUGUAAGCAAGUGGUGUUAAGCUGCAGUAAUGCUUUGAGUUAAAGCAGCCGGCGUGGCGUCACCUCCGCUUUGCCUUUUGAUGGGACCCCGUGACUUUGGACAGGAGGCUGAUGAAAAACCAGAUGCAGGCGGACUAACCAUGACACCUGCACCUUCACACGACGCCGGGAUGACCAAGCUGACCGAGCAGGCCUCUGAUGACAUUGUUUACCUCGAUCUGGCUGAGAUGCAAUAAAUGUCACUCCCUUUUUGAUGCUGAAUUAACAGCAAA